rnacentral:rRNA from 1 species
AUUGAACGCUGGCGGCAGGCCUAACACAUGCAAGUCGAGCGGAUGAAGGGAGCUUGCUCCUGGAUUCAGCGGCGGACGGGUGAGUAAUGCCUAGGAAUCUGCCUGGUAGUGGGGGAUAAUGUCCGGAGACGGGCGCUAAUACCGCAUACGUCCUGAGGGAGAAAGUGGGGGAUCUUCGGACUCGGCGCUAUGAGAUGGGCCUAGGUCGGAAUAGCUAGUUGGUGGGGUAGGGGCCUACCAAGGCUGCGAUCGGUAGCUGGCCUGAGAGGAUGGACAGUCACACUAGGCCUGAGCGAGGGGCCAGAGUGGUAAAUUGGGCAGCAGGGGAGAAUCUGGGACAACGGGGGGACGCGUGUGAAGAAGGUCUUCGGAUUGUAAAGCACGUUAAGUUGUGAGGAAGGGCAGUAAGUUAAUACCUUGCUGUUUUGACGUUACCAACAGAAUAAGCACCGGCUAACUUCGUG